CACUGCAGUACAUGCCAUCCACCAUCGGCGCCGAUGCGCCGUAGCCAGUGUAGGUGCCAUGUUUAUUUCUUCCCCUUAGUGAUUUACUUGGCAGCUCCUGAUGAUGACACUGAACGUCAGCCGGAGAUUUGGACAGCCCGGUUCUUUAUCUUGUCAGCCGUGCCGGUUGGGGAGCCCGGGGCCGCUGCUUGAUCUUAUGUUUCUUUGGCCCGGAUCGGUCCCGGUGCCGCAGCCUCUCCUCUUCCUUCUCGGGCCCGGCCGACUUGUUUUCUCAUUUCUUUAUUCAGGUCCUUUAUAUUGCGGAG